UGGCUUUGGAUUCAACUCAAGGCGCUCAAGGUUAUAAACAUUUUCAAAUUUAAUGAAUUUUCUUGUUGGAUUUGUUUUUGAUAGGCCACGGAACAGGAAACAGAUUUUGAAAUGUAUUUUUAUUGCUUGUUUCUGGCGGUGGUUCUGGAGACAGCGUGUCGAUCCAGCUCUGUAGAACGUCAUCCGGAGGUGGCAGAGUGUGAUGGCCAGCCACGCGGCGCGCGUAUCGACAUUGACCAGAAACUAUCACAUCAUCUCCAGGUCACUGGUCGAGGGCGCUCGAGCUGACGGUGUCUUCCGACGGCUCCACGGUGACCAGCGCCGCCACCGCCGAGACCAUCCAACUCCUGAAAUGCUAAAGGCCGUGCACGAACAAGAGGCUCUAAGCAUCCAGGUGCAAGGCAAGCGCCAUGCUCAGAGGUGUCAUCCGAAGAAGGCCGCACAGUGCACUUUAGGCUGAGCUCGGGUGUAGUGCGCGCCGACGGAUAGGAUGAAAUGACGGGCCGGCCAUCAGAUUUCAGUGCGGGGAUCAAGAUGGUCGGAGCCGAUGUGGCUCGGUUGAUGGUGUGGCAGGGUUGAUUGAGAGUGAAAGCGAGACACCCGGAUCUGUAAAGAAUACGCCGAUACGGGUCUCGAACGUCGUCUCGCAAUUUGUGCUCUGUAAUAUGACGGCUAUGCCGUGGUAUCAUUCACUCUCGGUGCGCUAAUAAAUAAUAAAUAGGACAGAGGCUGGAAUUAAGAUAUUAUAUUUGGAUGUAAGGGGCAGGUUUGGGCCAGCGCUAUUUUAGAAAUCGUGAGCGUGCUAGUUGCAAUCAAUCGCGCGCUUCUUGUUGAGCAUCUGUGAGCGAGAAAAUACUUUCUCUGGAACUUAGCAGUUCGUCGUGAAAUAUUUGUAUCUUUGGAGUAAGUUGUCAGAACAUGAAUGCAUUUUUGGUGUCCACUGCAGCUGCUGUUCUGGAACAGAAACAUGCCGAGAUCGACUGUGUAUGUAUGUUGUGGCAAAAUCAAGCAGCCGUACCAUGAAUCAAAAGCGAUAUGUGAAUUAAAGUGAAUAUAUUUCACUAUUUUUCAGUUUUAUCAUACAGAUCACAGAAAUGCGUCAAAUACUGAUCACACCCGGUUCCAAACAAAAACGCUUGCGAUCACUGGAAAAUAAAUAAACAAUAGAUACCCA